rnacentral:rRNA from 1 species
GCGAGUGAAGCGGCAAAAGCUCAAAUUUGAAAUCUGGUACUUUCAGUAUCCGAGUUGUAAUUUGUAGAAGCAACUUUGGUGAUGGUCUUUGCAUAAGUUCCUUGGAAUAGGACGUCAUAGAGGGUGAGAAUCCCGUUUAUGGUGAAGAACCCACACUAUGUAAAGUGCUUUCGAAGAGUCGAGUUGUUUGGGAAUGCAGCUCAAAGUGGGUGGUAAAUUCCAUCUAAAGCUAAAUAUUGGCGAGAGACCGAUAGCGAACAAGUACUGUGAAGGAAAGAUGAAAAGAACUUUGAAAAGAGAGUGAAAAAGUACGUGAAAUUGUUGAAAGGGAAGGGAUCUAAAUCAGACAUGGUAUUUUGUGAUCAACAGUCUUUCGGGACUGUGCACUCGCAUUUUACUAGGCCAGCAUCGGUUAGAAGGGGGUAAAAAAGAUUUUGGAAUGUGGCUCCUCGGAGUGUUAUAGCCAAGGUUAAUUGCCCCAUUUCUGACCGAGGACCGCGUCUUUUGACUAGGAUGCUGGCGUAAUGGUUUUGAUCCACCC